rnacentral:lncRNA from 1 species
UUUUCAUGAUUCAUCGCUUUAAUCUCGAUGUUAACAUGGUAUCAGAUCCUCGACGACGAUCCGAUCAUGUUUCUGUCUGUUUCGUGGUCCUGGAUGAAGUCUGUUUCGAGGUUUUGGGGGUGAUUUCUGAGACCGCUUCGUCGAUGAUGAUUUCAACCUAUCGGAGACUUUUCUGAGGAUAUCAUCGUGAUAUCCGAGUGUAUUUUCAUCUCCUGAACAUUCUGGAAAGAUUUUAUGAUGAUCUUGCUUGGUUAAUUUUGGGUGACUUAUCUGCUUCUAGGGUUUUUUUGACGGUCUAACCUGAGGUUUUACUGUAUUCCGGUAGCUCGAUUAUCACUUUUUGAGGACGCUUUGGGUGCAUUUCCGGCGUUGCUGACCAGAUUUCCGGUA